AUGAAGCUAGCUUAUGGAUUAGUCUUCCUGGGGUUCUUACAGUCUGUUGCAUAUCAGAUGUUUGAUCAACAGGUCCAGGCUCUGUUUGAGGUGAAGAUGGUGCUUAAUGACAGUCGUGGUGUCCUAGAAGACUGGAAUCGCUAUAUAGAUACUGCAUGUAGUACUAUUGCUACUGUCAUGUGUGAUCCUGACGGCAACGUGGUCGAAAUGGACAUUGGAAUCGCUGUUCAUCUAGAGGAGUCAGUGCCAAAUCUACGUCGGAAUAAUGCAAUGUUAAUGAUUGGAGAUGGAUUGACUCCUACCAAAGACUGA
rnacentral:rRNA from 1 species